rnacentral:lncRNA from 1 species
CUCUGGGAGGCCUUUGCUGGCCCCCGGGUUCCACUCCUGGGCCUGGGUACACACUCCAUCCUGCCCCUUCUCAGCUGUCUGUCUGUCUGUCUCUCCCACACUGGGAACCACCAGCAGCUGGUGGAGAGCCUCACCCUAACAGGACCCACAGAGGACGUUUUUGUCUGUGCAGUGAGGUUCGUCUCACGUGCGGGGACUGGUGGCGUGAGGCGGAUUGAGGACCUGCGGUGGAGAAAGGCACAGACCCUCAGGACAGGUUCUUCGGCCUGUCUGCGGAAGCUCCUCGGCCUGCCUGUCUCUCUGUCUCUGAGGCCCCAGGACAGCAGGUGCUGAGGCAGAGGCCACUGGGGUGGCACUCAGGUGCUGCCUGGGACCUGGACGAGAGGACAAAUGGAGCCGGGGACCCUGAGCGAGAUUCACCCCUCACUUUGGUGUGAGGCCUUGUCCCGUUUCUCAGCCUGUCGCUCUCCAGGCCCUGCGAACUGCUGGCCAGACGCAGCUGAGGACAGCUGGGUGUGACAAAUGGAGGCCACAGGACAGCAGGGGCUCUCAUGACCAGAGCCCGGGUGCAAACGGACCUGGGGGCUCCUGCAGCCCUCAGCCUCCUGCAGCCCUUCCCCCCUCCCACUUCCUCCCAGGUGCAGAGGGAUCAGGAGCUGGGGUUUCCCCUCCUUUGUCCCUGAGAACUGUGGUGUGGGGGUGGGGGACCUGAGGGAGCUGCCCCCAGAGGGACAAGGUUGGAGAGAAGGAGGAAAUGGGCCCUGGGCCAGGCCUGGCCUGAGUGAAGAGGACCCCUUUCCCAUCUGUGGGACAGUGAUUCACCUCAAAGGACCCCAUUUCUUUAAUGGGGGCUGAUCCACUUUGGUCCCUUUCAGUGGCCUGUAUGUGGGCAGGAUUCGCUCCCGGGAGCUCACUAGCUGCCCCUGGGGAGCUCUGCCCACUGGGGACCUCACCUCAGGUGCACCUUGGGAAGCCGCCACAAGGCUCCUGGCUUCCUUGCCCAAGCAGCUGUGGCCCACAGGUCACCUGUCCCCACAGCUCAGGCACACCGGAGACCUAUUUCCAACCUACAGGUAGGUGCACACGAAGGCCCUUAUGCCAUUAGGGUGACAUUGACGGGCUUCCGGGUGGCAGAGGGAGACCGGGCAGUCUCACUACUUCCAUGUCCCACUGGUCCCAAGCUGUCCGACCCGUGCUUGCUGGUGAUGUGGUCGUGGUCAUAGUCACUGCUCCAUUCCCUGCCCUGCCUCAGCCAACGUCCCAGCAGCAGUGUAUCCUGCGACGUCUGCGUUUACGGACCCUGUUCAAAAAGCACAGCUGCGUCCCGUCAUUUACACGGCCCUCCUGUUGCUGUUGAAAACGCAGGUGGCUUCUGUUUUCACCGUGACACUGAACACUGCACCCAACAGUGCUUUCUCCUCCAUGCUGACAGCUCCCGGUCAGACUUCCGGACCUGGGCCUUCGGCUCCAAGGGCUUGAAUGUGGGAGUCGUUACAUGUCAGGGAAGGAGACUGAGGUCAGAGGGGGCCGGUGACAGGCUCCAGUGGCCCAGAGGGUUGGUUACUUUGUGGGCUGAUGGUGCCACGGGGCUCUGGGCCUUGCGCUAUUGCUGCAAGUGGCUCCCCAAGUGUCUCCUAAAAAAAAAACCCCUACUGUGAUCUGAUUCUCAUACCGCGGUGAUAUCCAGGCCUGGUGCAUGCAGACACCUGCUCCAUGCAGCGCUGAAGCUUUGGACCCCUGAGCAUGCAAGACUCACUGACCUCCACCUCCCGGGAGGCUGGUAGAACUCGGAAAUAAGGCAGACCAGAAUGGAAGCUCGGCUCAAGGGUUAAUCAAUAGCUAGUACUUUUCCAAACCCUGUUAGUGGACAUUUGGACCAAUAACUAGUGUUUUUCCAAACCCUGAUUAGCAUACACUGGGUGCAAUAGCAUUAGUACUUUCCAAACCCUGAUUAGCAUAAGUUGGACUGUAGCCUUGACCCAGGAGCUCUGUAAACCCCUGGACUAGCACACUCAGAUGGCAAUCCCUGUGGGGUCCCCUCUCGCCCUGUGGGGAUUCUUCACAUACGAAUAAAUCCUCUUCUGUAGAUUUCAUUUUUCGAAUGCAGGAGAUAAGAAUCCAGAAGAAAGAUGGGCGGAGAGCUGCUGGGGUCUGCGGCAACCCCGGAGGGCGCGGUCCACCAUUAAGAUCUGCAACACUUCCUGGCUGCAGAGGAGGUCUGCAGCUUAUGCAGCACCCACCUGCCGGCACAAGCAGAGGCGCUCUGCAGACCUGUGCCUGUUGAAAGCCCCAGGCAAGUCAAGAUGGCGCCUGGCGCUUUGCCAAGAGGAGUGGUUUCAGCCAUUAAGAUGAUAGAGAUUCCUUAAUGACUGACUGCUGUGUCAAGAUAAUGUUAAUUAAGUUAAGCUGUGUGUAAUUAAGAUGAUGAGGAUUCCUUGAUGACUGAUUGAUGUAUCUGGAUGAUGUUAAUUGAAACAAGCUGUGUAUUCAGUUAUGUAUAUAUACCCUUGCUGUCCUACAAUAAAG